rnacentral:rRNA from 1 species
GGGGAACCUGACGCAGCGACGCCGCGUGAGCGAAGAAGGCCUUCGGGUUGUAAAGCUCUGUCUUCCCUGACGAAAAGAUGACGGUAAGGGAGGAGGAAGCCACGGCCAACUACGUGCCAGCAGCCGCGGUAAUACGUAGGUGGCGAGCGUUGUCCGGAAUUAUUGGGCGUAAAGGGUGCGUAGGCGGCUCUUUAAGUGAGGUGUGAAAACCCUGGGCUCAACUCAGGGAUGGCACUUCAAACUGGGGAGCUAGAGUGCAGGAGAGGAAAGCGGAAUUCCCAGUGUAGCGGUGAAAUGCGUAGAGAUUGGGAGGAACACCAGUGGCGAAGGCGGCUUUCUGGACUGUAACUGACGCUGAGGCACGAAAGCGUGGGGAGCAAACAGGAUUAGAUACCCUGGUAGUCCACGCUGUAAACGAUGAGUGCUAGGUGUGGGAGGCGUAGCCUUCCGUGCCGCAGUUAACACAUUAAGCACUCCGCCUGGGGAGUACGGUCGCAAGAUUAAAACUCAAAGGAAUGGACGGA